CCGGCACGGGUGAGUAACACGUAUCCAACCUGCCGUCUACUCUUGGACAGCCUUCUGAAAGGAAGAUUAAUACAAGAUGGCAUCAUGAGUCCGCAUGUUCACAUGAUUAAAGGUAUUCCGGUAGACGAUGGGGAUGCGUUCCAUUAGAUAGUAGGCGGGGUAACGGCCCACCUAGUCUUCGAUGGAUAGGGGUUCUGAGAGGAAGGUCCCCCACAUUGGAACUGAGACGCGGUCCAA
rnacentral:rRNA from 1 species